UACGGAGGGAGCUAGCGUUGUUCGGAAUUACUGGGCGUAAAGCGCACGUAGGCGGCUUUGUAAGUUAGAGGUGAAAGCCCGGGGCUCAACUCCGGAACUGCCUUUAAGACUGCAUCGCUUGAAUCCAGGAGAGGUGAGUGGAAUUCCGAGUGUAGAGGUGAAAUCGUAGAUAUUCGGAAGAAACACCAGUGGCGAGGCGGCUCACUGGCCCGAUACUGACGCUGAGGUGCGAAAGCGUGGGGAGCAAACAGG
rnacentral:rRNA from 1 species